CAGAGAACAGAUUUUGCUAUAGAAAUUCUGUGACCUGGUACAGAAAUACCAGUAGAUGAAACAGGUGCAUUCUGGAAUGUUGAAAAGGAGAAAAUAGGAUUCAAAUAUAUGUGACUAAAUAAUAAACUAUUACUGAAACCGGUUUGGCUCAAUGGAUAGAGCGUCGGCUUGGGGACUGAAGGGU